GACGAACCGUGCGAACGUUGUUCGGAUUCACUGGGCUUAAAGGGCGCGUAGGCGGCUUUGCAAGUCGGGUGUGAAAUCCCCAGGCCUAACCUGGGAACUGCAUUCGAGACUGCAUGGCUAGAGUAUCGGAGAGGGAAGUGGAAUUUCAGGUGUAGCGGUGAAAUGCGUAGAUAUCUGAAGGAACAUCAGUGGCGAAAGCGACUUCCUGGACGAAUACUGACGCUCAUGUGCGAAAGCGUGGGGAGCAAACAGG
rnacentral:rRNA from 1 species